ACAUGUUGGCCAGGCUGGUCUUGAACUCCUGACAUCAGGUGAUUCGCUCACCUUGGCCUCCCAAAGUGCUGGGAUUACAGGCACGAGCCACCACACUCGGCCUGGGAUAUUCUUGAUUAUAACUGUAACAUAUCCCUUUAAUAAAAACAAAACAGAACAACAACAACAACAACAAAACAGCUGUCUGAAAAGUCUCGAAAUUAAAGAGCUCACUUGGACAGGGAUUUGGACACCAGUUGAAUGGCCCAGCACGCCAUAGUUACAUGGGCCACUCGGCCUGUUAGAUCCUUAGGGUAUUUGAAGUCAUGUGGAUAUUUGCAUUUCUGCCUCUGGAUAUCGUGUUAGUAUUCAGCUAGCGUUUGAGGUCCAGGCUCAGAUCCGGGAAAACAAGAGCUCCUGCCCUCACGGAACUUCUCUUCCAUGUGUGUGUGUGAGGAAAAUAGAAAGCACAAGAUAUUUUUUUCAAUGAGCUGGGAAGAUGGAAAAACAAGCUUAAGAUGUUUACUUGUUCAGAAGAAGGGAAGUACAAGGAACACUCAGCUUUGCUGCUGCUGAAGGAGGCCCCUGGUGGAGGCUGUUUCAGAGGUGGGGUUUCUCUGAGAAAGGUGGUAAGAAGCAAAUAGGAUGCCCCAUCUGGUUUGCCAGAGAUGGGGAAAGUUAGUAUCCCCAAAACGGCUUCAGCAUUCUGGCAAAGCUUUGGAAAACCAGCUAGGGUGUGGGACCUUGUUGGCCGCUGGGUAGAAGGAAAACAUUGCUGGUCCUGAGGACUGUACUGUUCUUCCACUGCUAUAAAGAACUACCUGAGGCUGGGUAAUAAGGAAAAAAAGGUUUAAUCGGCAUACAGUUCUGUGGGUUGUACAGGCUUCUACAUCUGGGGAAACUUACAAUCAGAGUGGAAGGUGAAGGGGAGGCCGGCAUGUCUUCACAUGGCUGGAAGGGGAGAGAGAGUGAAGGGGAAGGUGCCAUGCACCUCCUAACAACCAGAUCUCAGAACUAUCAUGAGGACAGCACUUGGGGGAUUGUUCUAAAGCAUUAGAAACCACCCCCAUGAGUCAAUCACUUCCCACCAGGGCUCACCUCCAACAGAGAGUUAGAGUUCAGCAUGAGAUUUGGGUGGGGACACACAGCCACACCAUGUCAGGCUUCCCAUUCUUCUCCUGCACGUGCUUUGCCAAUGAUUCUGUCAUUGGUUUUUGUCUCUGUUGUUACAUAAUAUUUUAUUUUGUAUCUGAAAAAUACAUAUUUUCAGAGUGCAUGUGAUACCUUGAUUCACCCCUAUAUUGAUGAAAUCUGUGUACUUGGGAUGUCUUUCACUUUAAAUAGUUUCUUUUCCUUGUGCUGGUUAUGUUAAGUUAUUCUCUCCUAGCUGUUUUGAAAUACACAGUAGAUGACCCACUGCCACCCCCCUGCUGAUAUAUCAAUAGUAGGUCUCGUGUUCCCAUUAGGCUGUGUGUUUGUGCCCGUUACCAGCCUCUGCCCAUCCUGUUUAUGAGUGGACUCUGCUGGGCCCUGUUGACCACCUACUCUUGGCCUCCACGAGAUCUGUUCUCAGCUCCUGCUUAUGAGAACAUGUGCCGAUUCCUUGCUUGGCUCAUUUGCUUAACGUAAUGUCAUCCAACUCCAUCCAUGCUGCCGCGGAUGACAGGGCUCUCUGCUGUGUGGUGGAGUAUUGCUCCUGUGUAUGUUCGGGCCACAUUCCCUUCGUCCACUGUUGACGGGCACUCAGGUGAUUCCAGACCUUGGCUACUGUGGAUGGGAGCUGAGAGCAGUCACUGGCUUUAUAUUCGGGGGACGUGAGCCACUUUGAUGUUCUCAAGCAGCCAUUCCCCAAAGCCCUCCGUAGAAUGCUGCAUUCGUUUGUACCCAUGGCUUCUUCCACUAGGAUGCACAGCUGGGAAGCGGCUUUGAGUGAAUGCUUGGGUUUCUGUCUUUAAUUGGUACCCAGCUACACUGGCCAAGCAGGGGUCCCAGUGACCCUGGACACUACCUCACAUAAGGUCCAAAGAUGCAGUUAGGUUCUUUUUUUAACUUAAAAAAAAAAAUGCUUUUGACCUGGUUAAGCUAUAGCAUUAUCAGUUAGAGUUUUUCUAUAUUGGAAAGGUGUAUAUUUUAUUUUCUAAGAAAGAAAGAAAUCCUGUUAAAUACUCUAACCACAUAUUAAAUCGUGUCAAGGAAAGAGGUACUAUUUUGGGGGAAAAUUACCCCUUCAUGUCAAAGAUCAAGGAGAUGACUUACAUUGUUUAAUUGAGUUAAUUAUGAAAUCUUAAGUGGUUUUAAGAAGAUGAGCUGUGGAUGCUGCAAGACAUGAGACUGAUACUGAUUUAAUGUUAGUCAGCCCUGACAGAAUGUGGGUAAUAUUUAAAGCUUGCUCCAGUAUUGCUUGAUAGAUUGUAAGUUAAUGUAAAGAUCUGUUUGACACUUUUAUUUUACAAAAUAUUAUUGAGAAAAAGUUUGACAGCCAAGGAAUGGCCUUCAACCAAUUUCUUCCUAAUUUCUAUCACCAGAAAAUUUUGUCCUGUUAAUUCCAGAAUUUACUUUUGGAAAGUUCCCGUAAGUAGAGCAGAGGUAUUGGUGGUUGAAUGGUGACUUGAAUUUAGGUUAGGAUCAUUAAAUAUUUCAUAGUCAUGUUUGUCUUGGUGGUUUUAGCAAUUUUAUAUUAAACUUAGAACUGUGAGUCAAACCAAAUGUGUUCUUUUGCUUUUGUGAUACUCCUUUGUAUGACUAUACUGGUAAAGAAUGAUAAAAUGUGUAUUGGGUAUUUUUUCUAUGUAGAUAUUAGGAUUUUUAGGGGAACAAAUUAAUCAUUCUUCUAAUGUACACUGUGCUGUGUGUUGGGUCCUUUGUAUAUUAGUUGAAUCACUAUAAUGAGGACCACUUGAAAGUCUGUUUCUAUACCAGAUCUUUUAUAUGUUGACUUGUGUUAUGCAAAAUCCUUCAUCCUCUAAGAAGACUAAGCAAUGGGUUGGAGGAGAGAUUUAAUCACCCAUUAGGUCUAUUCUGAAUGCCCAGAAUUGAAUGCAAGUACUAAUUAUGUUUUUGAAGUGAGGUGUGUGUGUGUGUGUGUGUGUGUGUGUGGUGGACUUCUUUUUAGGUCAUGGGAGGGAGGUAAAGCAAAGAUGAGAUUUGCUGAUGAACAUUUGUGCAUAUGCUAGUGGAGAAGUCAUAUGACUUGACUGCACCUGCGUACUCUGAUUUUGGUUUCGUUAGUGUCCGUAGCCACAAGCCUCAGCCACCUCUGGGACCCACCCUGAGGGGCUGUGGUGAGGGUUAUUACAGAGUCGUGUGUCUUAGUGAAUGGCACAAACGGCCUUGUGGGCCUACUUUGGCUUUGUUUGAACCUGUAGAUUGUUAAACUAAGUUUAACAUUUUGAGGAUUAUAAAUUGUGAUUCUUGUCUAAGAGGAGGUUUUUGUUGUCUCUGAAGACAGGAGCCGUAAUACAGAUGGUCCCUGGCUCCCGAAGGUUACAUUUGUGGUUUUUUUUCAACCUUGUGAUGAUGUGAACUAGUCACACUCAAUGCAUUGUUUGGCCCAAGAUGGGCUGCCUCUGGAUGAACCCGUUGUAAGUUGAAACUAUUAUGUCAAAUGAACUUUCUAUUUAGGAUAUUUUCAGCUUACGCUGGGUUUAUUGGAACAGUUUCAUUCCGUGGUAAGUCAGAGAGCAUAUGUGCUCAUAAAAGUAGAGACAAUCUCAUAGAUACCGUGAGAUAUAAUGUCUCUGAUGUUAUAGAGAUACGAUGAAAACAAUCAAGUGGGACUUGGAAGCCUUGGAGGGACCCACAUGGGCGGUUCCUGGAAUGCAAUCCUGAGCGCCACUGGCUCUGGAUGUGACAUCUGUGCCUUCUGCUUAGCCCAGUGUGUUAUUGGCUGCUCUCGAGGGCAGAGUGGUCCAGCGUUCCUGUGUUUAGGUGUUUGAGCUGCCUUAAGAGGCUAGGUCAAUUCUCACUGGUGUCUUCAGGGCUUUAGGCCUUCUGAACAAGCAGGAGGAAGGGCGACUUUGUAGAGCUUUGGAAAUCUCAACAGACUUCAGGGCCAUCCCCCUUGGCAGGAGAGAGCCCCACUGGAGGCGAGCAGGGUGCCGUGCGGGCCUGUGCUGGGCCCAGGCAUGUACGGACGUUGUGAGGGCCACAGGACACAGAUCGGUCUUGGUUCACAACUGGUGUCGAUGGCCACGCAGCAUUUCUGCCAGGUAUAUGAGUGCGGGGACUUGGGUUUUGGUGUGUGCGUCCUGGUUGCCUAGUUGCUUGGAAGACCCCUAUUCAGACCCAAACCUGAGUCACCGUGACAGGCCUCCUGCUUCACACGCCACACGGAAGCCGUGGCGUCGGUCACUGACACCCACCAGCUGUCAGAUGUGCGUGUGUAUCUUCCUUGGUCUCGUGAUGGGUCUUGUUUUGAGGUUAUAGUAAACGUUCUUUACGAAGGGUUUUGGAUUUUUUAUGUUGUUUGCAAGGAGACAGCAGGGAGUGCUUAAGCAGUGAGAUCCCCUUUCCAACCAAUGCAAUUUCAGAUCCCAGCAGGUAAUUAAGGCAGCGGAGCUAUAGGAUCACCUUUCCAACCAAUGAGAAUUCAGAUCCCAGCAGGUAAUUACGGCAGCGGAGUGGGUGGCAGAACCCUGAACUGUGGCUGUUCCUGGUGUCUUGCCCCGCGGACAGAGCGUGCUGGGGCCUCCGUGGUCCUCUGUGGGGUGAGUGGAGCGCAUGAGCUGGGUGCUGCUGGGCCCUGGCUGGCUCCCCAGCCCGGGGUUUAUGCAGCACUCGUUAGACAACUUGGAACCCAGAAAGCAGCACGAGGAGAACGGGAUUGUGCCUUUCUGGAUCGUUGGUGCUUCCCAGUCUCAGACACUGAGCAGGCUCUGAGGGGUCUCGCCGGGAAGACUUGCACAGUAGGCCCCCAGGGUGGAGUGGGGCUGCAGCGGGUCUUGCAGGAGCUGGAAGUGGGGGUGAAUGUCUCGCAAGUGGGACCUUUCAAAUGGGCCCAGUAGGAUGCAUCCGUGGAAAUGGUGCCACCUAACGCAGGGCUGCGGCUAGCAGGACCUGAAAGGCUGCAGCGGGCUCUGUUUCUGCUCUCUCUCUCUCUUGAGUCUCUGCACGGUUUUCCUUGGUUUUUGUCUGUUUGGAGGACGCUUCCCCCCUUCUUGCGCUUACCUAGCCUUCUGAGCUUCCUUGUUGAGUAUGACAAAGCCCUGAGAACCAUUUUUAUCGCAUAAUUGUGUUAUCCUGGUGGCUGGAUAAAUGACCUGCAAAUGUGGGUGACUCAGUAGCUCUGAGGGUGUUCAAUAUGCAAGACAGAGGUGGGAAGGAAAUGUUCAGGCAGGCAUCAGAGGAUCUGUUCUCUGCUUCACACUAGGGCCUUGGUUUGCUGAGAGUCUUCACACUCAAUCCAAAAUGGGGAUAAUGAAGUCUCACGGAUUCGGCUUCAGCUGAGAGCUGCCUCCAGCACAGUCUUGUGUGAGUAACAGUUUCUAUGUUUGGUGCGAAGGGCGGGCGUCAGUUGAUCUUAUUUGUGGUGGUGCUUAUGGUGGGUUUUCCGUGAGGAAUGUAGACUUUAUUAGCUUUGGCAAGGGAAUCCUGAGUGAUAAAUUGGAAGAAUGUUUCAGGAAAUUCUGGAACCUGCAGUGAAUCUGGAAUCUGUAUGAAAUUGAGAUUUGGAUUCUCACGAUUUCCUAAUGCUACCCCGAAACCCAGUAGUUGAGACAGUCGUAGAGCUUCAGUUGUGCUGCCCUGGUUCCCCAUUUUAAAAGGAACACGUUGCUUUCAUCUAGAAUGUUCUGAGCUCUGAGUGCUGCUGGCAGAGUGACCAGCUCUCUGCAUCAGAGGGGAAGCCAGGACUGUGCUCAAGCUGUUGCAGCAGCUGGGAGCUGACCCUGGACUUCAGGCACGUGUGAUGCUGAGCAUUUUCUGUAAUUUCCAAGGGUGUAGUGGUCUCCUUGGCCCUUUACAGUCUUCUGAAGCUUUUGAUGUGUCUGUACUUUAUAGAUUUUUCAGAAGUAGACAGCAUUUUCCCACACCCUUGGGCUGAGUUUCAUCAGAGGCUGGUGUGUGGGAAGCACCACACCCACAUUCUGACAGGGAAGACUCUGGUGCCCAACUGAGGUCAGAGUGGAAAUUUGUUCUUCCAUCCCUCCAGUCUGGUCCAGCUGCUCCCUGGUUGGCCAGAAGAAAAUCAUGCUUAUCCAAGUCGUAGGCAAACCCCCGAAGUCAAACAUUUGCCUUUUUUCUUUAAUACGCCCAUUUAGUUUAUAAGGGAUGAUAGGUAGAUAAAUGUCUUUUAGGGGAAAAUUAAUUUCCUUAAUUACACAGAACUUUUUGGAUAAAAACUGCAAUCAGGAAGCUAUUUUGUAACAAGAUCUAGUUAAAUACUACAGUGGAAAGCUCCUUAUAUUUGAUCUUAAACUUGGGCCCUGUGUGCGUGUCCGCACGCUCGUGCUCAUGAUGCCAGGCACAGAUGUGAACUACAGGCAAAGUACAUACUUUCUGGUUGCUUUUUUGAAAGUCUCAUUGCUUGGCCUCUCCGACUCAAAUGUUGAGUUACGUUGAUCCUGUUCAGAAUGUUCAUCCCUCCGUCUAAGGUCCAGUCGUCUUUCAGGGAGGAACCGUCUUCCUCAUCUCUGUCUCCUACAGUAUUGUAUAUUUAAUAGUCAAAUAUUUAUAGGUUACAUGGGUACAUGGGUGACUGAUCUGUUCAUUAGGAGGAAAACGAUGCCAAUUUUCACAUCAUUAUAAUGCACUUGUUAAAUGAUUGUUAGUAUAAUGAAGUUUCCAUGGCAAAAGAGGCUUUGCAGAUGUGAGUGUAAUGGACAGUGAGAUGGGGAGGACCCUGGGUUGUCCAGGUGGGUGCAGUGUUCUUACAUGUGCCUUGAUGAGAGGGAGUACGAGGGUCUGCCUCAGAGGAGGAGACCUGAGGACGAGAUAGAGGCCAGAGGGCUGUGGGGCUGAGGGCGAGUGUGGGGCAGGGGCCGGAGGGGUGCAGGGCUGAGGCUGGGGCAGUGGUAGGAGGGGUGUGGGGCUGUGAGUCAAGCUGCAUGGUGGCCUCUAUGAAUUGGGAGACUCCAGGCAGGAAUACAAGCUACUGACCCCUUGACUUCAGCCCUGGGACUCCUGACUUCCAGGGCUGAGGGGAGGUUUGCCUUUGUGGUAAUUUGUUGCAGCAGCAAUAGGAAGUUAAUGCAUUGUAUCUGUUCUUCACCUCCAAACCUUUGAAAAGUAACCCUGUUGUAUUGGCCUUUUGUGUGCCCUAAAUUCUAAUGAGACGGUUUGUAGGAAAUAAUGGACACAAA